rnacentral:rRNA from 1 species
AAGCGCUUGCAACCAGACUUGCGCGUGGCCGAUCAUCCUGUGCUCGCACGGGUGCACUCGGCCGCGCGCAGGCCAGCAUCGGUUUGGGUGGCUGGAUAAAGGCCUUGGGAAUGUGGCUCUCUCCGGGGAGUGUUAUAGACCAUUGCAUAAUACCCUGGGCCGGACUGAGGUUCGCGCAUCUGCAAGGAUGCUGGCGUAAUGGUCAUCAGCGA